UACGAAGGGUGCAAGCGUUAAUCGGAAUUACUGGGCGUAAAGCGCGCGUAGGUGGCUUGAUAAGUUGGAUGUGAAAUCCCCGGGCUCAACCUGGGAACUGCAUCCAAAACUGUCUGGCUAGAGUGCGGUAGAGGGUAGUGGAAUUUCCAGUGUAGCGGUGAAAUGCGUAGAUAUUGGAAGGAACACCAGUGGCGAAGGCGACUACCUGGACUGACACUGACACUGAGGUGCGAAAGCUAGGGGAGCAAACGGG
rnacentral:rRNA from 1 species